rnacentral:rRNA from 1 species
UACAGAGGUGCCAAGCGUUAGGCGGAAUCACUGGGCUUAAAGCGCGCGUAGGCGGAUGUUUAAGUGUCUUGUGAAAUCCCACGGCUCAACCGUGGAACUGCUGGGCAUACUGGACAUCUCGAGGCACUCAGGGGCGAGCGGAACAAGUGGUGGAGCGGUGAAAUGCGUAGAUAUCAGGAGGAACACCCGUGGCGAAAGCGGCGCGCUGGACCACUACUGACGCUGAGGAACGAAAGCUAGGGGAGCAAACAGG